rnacentral:rRNA from 1 species
GUAGCGAAAUUCCUUGUCGGGUAAGUUCCGACCUGCACGAAUGGCGUAACGAUGGCCACACUGUCUCCUCCAGAGACUCAGCGAAGUUGAAAUGUUUGUGAUGAUGCAAUCUCCCCGCGGAAAGACGGAAAGACCCCAUGAACCUUUACUGUAGCUUUGUAUUGGACUUUGAACAGAUCUGUGUAGGAUAGGUGGGAGGCUUUGAAGUGCGGUCGCUAGAUCGCAUGGAGCCAACGUUGAAAUACCACCCUGGUGUGUUUGAGGUUCUAACCUAGGCCCAUUAUCUGGGUCGGGGACAGUGCAUGGUAGGCAGUUUGACUGGGGCGGUCUCCUCCCAAAGUGUAACGGAGGAGUUCGAAGGUACGCUAGUUACGGUCGGACAUCGUGACGAUAGUGCAAUGGCAUAAGCGUGCUUAACUGCGAGACUGACAAGUCGAGCAGAUGCGAAAGCAGGACAUAGUGAUCCGGUGGUUCUGUAUGGAAGGGCCAUCGCUCAACGGAUAAAAGGUACUCCGGGGAUAACAGGCUGAUACCGCCCAAGAGUUCAUAUCGACGGCGGUGUUUGGCACCUCGAUGUCGGCUCAUCACAUCCUGGGGCUGUAGCCGGUCCCAAGGGUAUGGCUGUUCGCCAUUUAAAGAGGUACGCGAGCUGGGUUUAGAACGUCGUGAGACAGUUCGGUCCCUAUCCGCUGCGCGCGUAGGAAAUUUGAGAGGAUCUGACCCUAGUACGAGAGGACCGGGUUGGACGAACCUCUGGUGUGCCAGUUGUUCUGCCAAGAGCACCGCUGGUUAGCUACGUUCGGGAUGGAUAACCGCUGAAAGCAUCUAAGCGGGAAGCCGGCUUCGAGAUGAGAUUUCCUUGCCCCUUUGAGGGUGUGAGGCCCCCAGCUAGAACACUGGGUUGAUAGGCUGGAUGUGGAAGCGAGGACUGAAGACUCGUGAAGCUGACCAGUACUAAUAGGCCGAUGACUU